AGAACGAACGCUGGCGGCGUGGAUAAGACAUGCAAGUCGAACGCGACUUAUCUGGUUAGCAAUAACCAGGUGAGUUGAGUGGCGAAAGGGUGCGUAACACGUGGGGAUUUACCAAGAAGUGGGGAAUAGCUCGACGAAAGUCGAAUUAAUACCGCAUACGAUCGCAAGAUCAAAGCCGGGGACCGCAAGGCCUGGCGCUUUUUGAGAAGCCCGCGGCCCAUCAGCUAGUUGGCGGGGUAACGGCCCACCAAGGCUAUGACGGGUAGCUGGUCUGAGAGGACGACCAGCCACACUGGAACUGAGACACGGUCCAGACACCUACGGGUGGCAGCAGUCGAGAAUUUUUCACAAUGGACGAAA
rnacentral:rRNA from 1 species